GCAAGUCGAGCGGUCGGGGGGAGACCUCCGGCAGCGGCGGACGGGUGAGUAACGCGUGGGAACCUGCCCUCAGGUUCGGGACAACCGUGGGAAACUGCGGCUAAUACCGGAUGAUCCCUGUGGGGCAAAGGCCGUUUGGUCGCCUGGGGAGGGGCCCGCGUCCGAUUAGGUAGUUGGUGGGGUAAUGGCCUAUCAAGCCUGUGAUCGGUAGCCGGUCUGAGAGGAUGGUCGGCCACACCGGGACUGAGACACGGCCCGGACUCCUACGGGAGGCAGCAGUGGGGAAUCUUGGACAAUGGGCGCAAGCCUGAUCCAGCGACGCCGCGUGGGUGAGGAAGGCCUUCGGGUUGUAAAGCCCUUUUCCCGGGGACGAUGAUGACGGUACCCGGGGAAUAAGCACCGGCCAACUCCGUGCCAGCAGCCGCGGUAAGACGGAGGGUGCGAGCGUUGUUCGGAAUCACUGGGCGUAAAGGGCGCGUAGGCGGUUGCGCGUGUCGGGUGUGAAAGCCCGGGGCUCAACCCCGGAAUUGCAUCCGAGACUGCGUGGCUAGAGACCGGGAGAGGAGGGUGGAAUACCCAGUGUAGAGGUGAAAUUCGUAGAUAUUGGGUGGAACACCGGUGGCGAAA
rnacentral:rRNA from 1 species